rfam:Salmo salar isolate Sally breed double haploid chromosome ssa01, whole genome shotgun sequence.
UGCAUUCACCAUUGUAAGUCGCUCUGGCUAAGAGCGUCUGCUAAAUGACUAAUA